UACGUAGGGUGCAAGCGUUAAUCGGAAUUACUGGGCGUAAAGCGUGCGCAGGCGGUUUCGUAAGUCUGUCGUGAAAUCCCCGGGCUCAACCUGGGAACUGCAUCCAAAACUGGCGAGCUAGAGUAGGGCAGAGGGUGGUGGAAUUUCCUGUGUAGCGGUGAAAUGCGUAGAUAUAGGAAGGAACACCAGUGGCGAAGGCGACCACCUGGG
rnacentral:rRNA from 1 species